CCUGGCCGCUCAGAUGGUAAAGAGUCUGCCUACAGUGCAGGAGACCUGGGUUCGAUCCCUGGGUCAGGA
rfam:Ovis aries breed Texel chromosome 4, whole genome shotgun sequence.